rnacentral:rRNA from 1 species
AGCGAACGCUGGCGGCAGGCCUAACACAUGCAAGUCGAACGAACCUUUCGGGGUUAGUGGCGGACGGGUGAGUAACACGUGGGAACGUGCCUUUAGGUUCGGAAUAACUCAGGGAAACUUGUGCUAAUACCGAAUGUGCCCUUCGGGGGAAAGAUUAAUCGCCUUUAGAGCGGCCCGCGUCUGAUUAGCUAGUUGGUUGAGGUAAUGGCUCACCAAGGCGACGAUCAGUAGCUGGUCUGAGAGGAUGAUCAGCCACAUUGGGACGGAGACACGGCCCAAACUCCGACGGGGGGCAGCAGUGGGGAAUCUGGCGCAAUGGGCGAAAGCGUGACGCGGCCAUGCCGCGGGAAUGAUGAAGGUCUAAGGAUGGAAAAAUUCUUUCACCGGGGACGAUAAUGACGGAACCCGGAGAAGAAGCCCCGGCUAACUUGG